rnacentral:rRNA from 1 species
GAAAAGAAACCAACAGGGAUUGCCUYAGUAACGGCGAGUGAAGCGGCAAAAGCUCAAAUUUGAAAUCUGGCGCCUCUGGUGUCCGAGUUGUAAUUUGGAGAGGCAUCUUCCGGAGGGGUCCAGCCUAUGUUCCUUGGAACAGGACAUCAUAGAGGGUGAGAAUCCCGUUCAUGGCUGGAUAUACCCUUCAGUAGGUAGUGCCUUCUACGAGUCGAGUUGUUUGGGAAUGCAGCUCAAAAUGGGUGGUAAAUUUCAUCUAAAGCUAAAUAUUGGCGAGAGACCGAUAGCGCACAAGUAGAGUGAUCGAAAGAUGAAAAGCACUUUGAAAAUAGAGUCAAACAGUACGUGAAAUUGUUGAAAGGGAAGCGCUUGAGACCAGACUCAGCCUUGGGCAAACAGCCUUCCUUCUGGGUGGUGCACUUGCCCUUGGCUGGGCCAGCAUCAGUUAGGGUGGUGGAAUAAAGGCUUGAGGAAUGUGACUCCACUUAGGAGUGUUAUAGCCUCAGGUGCCAUCCCACCUGCCCUGACUGUGGACCGCGCUUUGGCUAGGAUGCUGGCGUAAUGGUCUUUA